UGGUGCGGGACAAGCAGAUCCACCUGAGGAUGGAGCGGGAGCGGCGAAGGCAGCGGGCGGAGAGCGACGCCGUGCACCGCCCCGCCAGCAACGGGGACCGCAGCAACAUCCAGUCAGGUCCAUGAAGCAAAUGAGCCGCUCGGGUCGGCCGUCAUCAGCAGAGACCCCCACAGCGGGACGCCAGACACCUCCGUCUCUCUCACUGCCUACCCUCAUCGAACCAAAGCCCAGAAUAGAAGAGAGGAAACGGGAGAGAAAGACGAAUCCCAGGAAGAAGAAGAAGGAGAAGAAGACAAAGACGACCAAGUUUGCCGCAAAGAAUUGCGG